UACGGGGGGGAGCAAGCGUUGGUUCGGAUUUACUGGGCGUAAAGGGCGCGUAGGCGGUCGUGACAAGUCACUUGUGAAAUCUCCGGGCUUAACUCGGAACGGUCAAGUGAUACUGUCGGACUAGAGUACAGAAGGGGCAACUGGAAUUCUCGGGUGUAGCGGUGAAAUGCGUAGAUAUCGAGAGGAACACCUGCGGCGAAGGCGGGUUGCUGGGCUGAUACUGACGCUGAGGCGCGAAAGCUAGGGGUAGCAAACGGG
rnacentral:rRNA from 1 species